rnacentral:rRNA from 1 species
GAUGAACGCUGGCGGCGUGCUUAACACAUGCAAGUCGAACGAUGAAGCCCAGCUUGCUGGGUGGAUUAGUGGCGAACGGGUGAGUAACACGUGAGUAACCUGCCCUUAACUCUGGGAUAAGCCUGGGAAACUGGGUCUAAUACCGGAUAGGAGCGUCCACCGCAUGGUGGGUGUUGGAAAGAUUUAUCGGUUUUGGAUGGACUCGCGGCCUAUCAGCUUGUUGGUGAGGUAAUGGCUCACCAAGGCGACGACGGGUAGCCGGCCUGAGAGGGUGACCGGCCACACUGGGACGGAGACACGGCCCAGACUCCUACGGGAGGCAGGAGUGGGGAAUAUUGCACAAUGGGCGCAAGCCUGAUGCAGCGACGCCGCGUGAGGGAUGACGGCCUUCGGGUUGUAAACCUCUUUCAGUAGGGAAGAAGCGAAAGUGACGGUACCUGCAGAAGAAGCACCGGCUAACUACGU